GCAAACUUGGUCAUUUAGAGGAAGUAAAAGUUGUAACAAGGUUUCCGUAGGUGAACCUGCGGAAGGAUCAUUAACAAAUCCAAUAAUUGUGGAGUGGGGCGACCCAUUUUGCAAAUAUUAAACCGCCAAUUCGAGAGAAUUGGUUGGAAUAUAAAUGUGUGUUGUGUUGACAGUGUGUGAGUGACUUUAAUUAUUGACAACUUUUAACAAUGGAUCUCUAGGCUCUUCUGCGGAAGGAUCAUUAACAAAUCCAAUAAUUGUGGAGUGGGGCGACCCAUUUUGCAAAUAUUAAACCGCCAAUUCGAGAGAAUUGGUUGGAAUAUAAAUGUGUGUUGUGUUGACAGUGUGUGAGUGACUUUAAUUAUUGACAACUUUUAACAAUGGAUCUCUAGGCUCUUGCAUCGAUGAAGAACGCAGC
rnacentral:misc_RNA from 1 species